rnacentral:rRNA from 1 species
AACGAACGCUGGCGGCAUGCCUAACACAUGCAAGUCGAACGAGACCUUCGGGUCUAGUGGCGCACGGGUGCGUAACGCGUGGGAACCUGCCUUUAGGUUCGGAAUAACUCAGAGAAAUUUGAGCUAAUACCGGAUGAUGUCUUCGGACCAAAGAUUUAUCGCCUUUAGAUGGGCCCGCGUUGGAUUAGCUAGUUGGUGGGGUAAAGGCCUACCAAGGCGACGAUCCAUAGCUGGUCUGAGAGGAUGAUCAGCCACACUGGGACUGAGACACGGCCCAGACUCCCAAGGGAAGGAGGCGUGGGGAAUAAUGGGACAAGGGCGAAAAGCUGAACCAGCAAUGCCGGGUGAGUGGUGAAGGGCUUUGGGUUGGAAAGCUCUUUUACCCGAGAUGAUAAUGACAGUAUCGGGAGAAUAAGCUCCGGCUAACUCCGUG